rnacentral:rRNA from 1 species
ACAAUACGUGGAAGAUAUAAUCUCUUUUUUCUUCUCUUCUGCUCGAACAAAUCAACCCAUACCAAACACUUCUAUAGGUGGGGGACUAAAAACAGUACUUAUUUUAGCUUUAUAUUAUCCUCUUUACUUCUUCAUCGCGCCCCUGUCUCCUUCAGCUACCUGGAACGCGAAGACCCUUAUUCUUUCCUAUCCUUAAUUUUGUAACCAUAAAAAGUACUCCGCCACGGAGGGGGCUGAGUCUUUGUUUCGCGUUCUCUUUCUGGUCGGAAUAGAUCCAUUUUUUUUUUUAACCCCAGUAGAAAAAAUUACACCCCCACAGAAUCACUCUGCGGGGCUGGGCGGGAAUUCGCUCCCGGUUGCGGUCGAAACCUCUUUUUUAAUUUAGGAAAAAAAAAAAAAAUGGGAGAGGGAGUUUUUCUUGGCCGCCCCUCAACACCCAGGGCAGAAAGCCAGGGGGAGGGAAAGGGAUAGAAUACCCCCGUACUCCUUCCCGUAAACGAAAGAAACUAGGCUUGGCUUGUAUCGACCCCACCCCCCCCGUAGCUACCGCGUUAAGUAUCCCCCCUGGGGGGUACGCACGCAAGUNUGAAACUCAAAGGAAAUAACGGGGGCCCGCACAAGCGGUGGAGUAUGUGGUUUAAUUUGAUGCAACGCGAAGAACCUUACCAAGGCUUGACAUGUCGCGAACUCUUCUGAAAGGAAGAGGGGCUUUGGGAGGGGGAACACAGGGGGUGCAUUGUGUAGUCAGAACUGUCAAAAUCUAUUAUCUAAAGAAGCGG